UUCCAGCACCACCACGGCCUCUUCAUAGACUGGCACUUCAAAGGCUUCGUUGUCCCUGAGGGAGGAGAAAUAAGGUCAUUGGUGGCUUUCAUGAAAGAAGCCCUUUUUUCCUUUUUUUGUCUGCCUCGGGCAAAAGAUCCUCUGUUGGCCCCUGCCUCCUCCUCCCGCUGAUACCAGUGACAGAGGAAACUGGAGACUCUAUGCCUCAGAGACUACAGGAAGAGGGAGGAUGGGCCCAAGGUGUAUUCCUCUCAUGAUACCCACCCCUUAACUCACCGUGCAUUGCCUGAGGGCCCUGGGCUCUCAGUCUGCAUUGAUUGGAGCUGGAACCGAAGACCCCAUUCCAGAAACCGGACCAGGAGGUUCUUCAGUCUCAAAUCAAAUAAAUAAUCUGCAGAGUCCCCUCCAGCUCCACAAAUCUCUCUAGGUCUUGGCGUGUGUGGAAUAGCCAGGAAACCAGCCCAGGAGCCUUGACUUCCAGCCAUUCUGCACCUGAAGCAAAAAUGAAUUGUUAGCCACACGUGGUGGCUCAUGACAGUAGUCUCGGCUACUUGGGAGGCUGAGGCAAGAGGAUCUCUUAGUACAGGAGUUCGAGGCAAUGUAGUAAGACCCUGUUCUUAAAUUUUUUUUUAAAAGCAAUUGUCUAUAAAUGUGUGGGUUUAUUUCUGAGCUCUGAAUCCUGCUGUGUUGGUCAAUGUGUCUGUUUUUAUGCCAAUAUUAUGCUCUUUUGAUUACUGUAGCUUUCCAGUAUAUUUUGAUGUCAAGAAGUGUGAUACCUCCGGCUUUGCUCUUUUUGCUCAAGAGUCCUUUGCUAUCUGGGUUUGUUUUAAAGGUUUCAUACAAAUUUAAGGAUUAUUUUUUCUAUUGCUGUGAAAAAUGACACUGGAAUUUUGAUAGAGGUUGCAUUGAAUUUAUAAAUUGCUUUGGGUACUAUGAGCAUUUUAACAAUAUUAAUUGUUUCACAGAACAACUUUCCAUUUAUUUGUGUCAUUUUCAAUUGCUUUUAUUAGUGUCUUACAGUUUUCAGUAUAUACAGAUCUUUUACCUCAUUUAACCAAUUUUUAAAAAUUUACACCUAUUUUUUUGUUGUUG